rnacentral:rRNA from 1 species
UUUUAUGGAGAGUUUGAUCCUGGCUCAGGAUGAACGCUGGCGGCGUGCCUAAUACAUGCAAGUCGAGCGAACGGACGAGAAGCUUGCUUCUCUGAUGUUAGCGGCGGACGGGUGAGUAACACGUGGAUAACCUACCUAUAAGACUGGGAUAACUUCGGGAAACCGGAGCUAAUACCGGAUAAUAUUUUGAACCGCAUGGUUCGAAAGUGAAAGACGGUCUUG